rnacentral:rRNA from 1 species
GACGAACCACACAAACGUUAUUCGGAAUUACUGGGCUUAAAGGGUGCGUAGGCUGCGCAGUAAGUUGGGUGUGAAAUACCUCGGCUCAACCGAGGAACUGCGCCCAAAACUACUGUGCUUGAGGAAGAUAGAGGUGAGCGGAACUUACGGUGGAGCGGUGAAAUGCGUUGAUAUCGUAAGGAACACCUGUGGCGAAAGCGGCUCACUGGGUCUUUUCUGACGCUGAUGCACGAAAGCUAGGGGAGCAAACGGG